UUCCGGUUGAUCCCGCCGGACCUGACUGCUAUCGGAUUGAUACUAAGCCAUGCGAGUCUUUGCAGUAAUGCAAGGCGGACUGCUCAGUAACACGUAGUCAACUUAACCUAUGGAUGGGUAUAACCUCGGGAAACUGAGAAUAAUUCCCAAUAGAUCAUUUAUCCUGGAAUGGUUGAUGAUUGAAAUGAUUCGUCGCCAUAGGAUGGGACUGCGGCCUAUCAGCUUGUUGGUGAGGUAAAGGCCCACCAAGGCUAUUACAGGUACGGGCUCUGAGAGGAGAAGCCCGGAGAUGGGUACUGAGACACGGACCCAGGCCCUAUGGGGCGCAGCAGGCGAGAAAACUUUGCAAUGUGCGAAAGCACGACAAGGUUAAUCCGAGUGAUUUCUGCUAAAGGAAUCUUUUACCAGUUCUAAAAAUACUGGCGAAUAAGGGGUGGGCAAGUUCUGGUGUCAGCCGCCGCGGUAAAACCAGCACCUCAAGUGGUCAGGAGGAUUAUUGGGCCUAAAGCAUCCGUAGCCGGCUCUGUUAGUUUUCGGUUAAAUCCAUAUGCUCAACAUAUGGGCUGUCGGAAAUACUGCAGAGCUAGGGAAUGGGAGAGGUAGACGGUACUCGGUAGGAAGGGGUAAAAUCCUUUGAUCUAUCGAUGACCACCUGUGGCGAAGGCGGUCUACCAGAACAUGUUCGACGGUGAGGGAUGAAAGCUGGGGGAGCAAACCGGAUUAGAUACCCGGGUAGUCCCAGCUGUAAACGAUGCAGACUAGAUGAUGCAUUGGCAUAUAGCCAGUGCAGUGUCGCAGGGAAGCCGUUAAGUCUGCCGCCUGGGAAGUACGUACGCAAGUAUGAAACUUAAAGGAAUUGGCGGGGGAGCACCACAAGGGGUGAAGCCUGCGGUUCAAUUGGAGUCAACGCCGG
rnacentral:rRNA from 1 species